AUGGCGGCGCUGCCCUACUUUGACGAGAUCGACCCCUCCGCCAUCGACGUCCUCCUCGUCACCCACUUCCACUUGGACCACGCCGCCUCGCUGCCCUACUUCCUCGAGAAGACGACGUUCAAGGGUCGUGUGUUCAUGACCCACGCCACCAAGGCCAUCUACAGGCUGCUGCUCUCGGAUUACGUCAAGGUCAGCAAGGUGUCGGUGGAGGACAUGCUGUUUGACGAGCAGGACAUCAUCCGUUCCAUGGACAAGAUCGAGGUCAUAGACUUCCACCAGACACUUGAAGUUAAUGGCAUACGCUUCUGGUGCUAUACUGCUGGCCAUGUACUUGGUGCUGCCAUGUUCAUGGUGGAUAUUGCCGUUGUUCGCAUUCUUUACACCGGUGACUACUCCCGUGAAGAAGACCGGCACCUGAAAGCUGCUGAGAUCCCCCAGUUCUCCCCUGAUAUUUGCAUUAUUGAGUCAACUUAUGGCGUGCAGCAACACCAACCCCGCCAUGUCAGAGAAAAGCGCUUCACUGAUGCCAUCCACAACACUGUUUCUCAAGGGGGGCGUGUUCUUAUCCCGGCAUAUGCUCUUGGUAGAGCACAGGAACUGUUGCUUAUCCUGGAUGAGUAUUGGUCUAACCACCCAGAGCUCCAUAAGAUUCCAUAUUAG
rnacentral:rRNA from 1 species